GAAAUGUUAUCGUUUGCGAGCAAGCCUUUGGACAUCAUAUUUUCUGGCUGGGCCAUCCAGCAAAAGAACCGAUUCUGGACAGAAUGGCCUGGAAACGGCAUUCAACAAUGUUCCGGCGGAUGAGUUUUGGAGGCAAGGCAUGUGUCCCCGCCGGUUGCCAGUGUGUUCUUGCAUUGAUUUUGUCCCGGUCCACAUCUGUUAAUAUUGUGAUUAUGUGAAGUGAAUAAACGUUUUUUUUUCGGA